rnacentral:lncRNA from 1 species
CCCUCACACAGGCGGGCCGCCCACGGGCCCCGCGCAGGCGUGUGGAGAGCUGCGCAGCGGGAAAGCGGGUCUUGCCUUGUUUUGCAAAUCGCAAUAUCCCAGAACGGCUGAGGUUGGAAGGAACCGCAGCGGGUCAGCUGGUCCAAACUCAUCCUACAGCACAUGACACAGGAUCCCAUCCAGAUGAUUCUUGAAUAUCUCAAAUGAGGGAGACUCCACAACUUCCCUGGGCAACCUGUUCCAGUGCAUGGUCACCCACACAAUACAGUUUUUCCUCGUGUGGAGUUGGAACUUCCCGUGCAUCAAGUUAUUCCCAUUGCCUCUUGUCCUGUUGCUUAGCACCACCAAGCAGAGCCUGGCUCCAUUCUCUGACACCCUCCCUUCAGAUACUGAUAGACAUUGAAGAAGCCCACACUCGAGGCUGAACAGCUACCUCAGCCUUUCCUCAUAAGAAAGAUGCUCCGGUUGACUAUUCAUCCUUGUUGCACUCCUCUGGUUGCUCCAGGAGCUCCACGUCUCUUGUACUGAGGAAUAAAGAACUGAACACACCACUUCUGAUGCAGUCCCACCAGGGCUGAGUAGAGGAGCAGAAUCAACCCCCUCAAUCUGCUGACAAUGCUCUUCCCCAGGACACCACUGGUGCUCUCGGCCACAGGGGCACUGCCUGGGCUCAUGGACAGCUUGUUGUCCACGAGGACCCCCAGGUCUUUCUCUGAAGAGCUGCUUUCCAGCAGGUCAGUGGUAAUGAUAAGCUUUUACCCCAAAGUGCGGAACCUGAUGUAUGUCUGCAUUUUUUUUCCCAGUCCUUCAUGUCAGUGAAGAACUUGGAAACUGGCAGAAGCACUCCAGGAUUAAGGAUAAUUUUUUGGUCAUGGAAUAGUCAAUGGAGGAGAAGGGAUGGGAUGUACUUGCUGGGGGAACCACAACUUACAUUGAGUAUAAUUCUGAUUUCCAAACUCAAUUGUGCCAAGUUUGUUUUCCUCAGCUCUGAAGAGGUGAACAAGGUGGUUCUUCCAAGGCUUCUUGGAAGAACAAAGCUUCUUACAAGAUCAAAUAUCAGUCAGUGUUAA